rnacentral:tRNA from 1 species
GGGGAUAUGGCGAAAUUGGUAGACGCGACGGACUAAAAUCCGUCGACUUUUUAAAUCGUGAGGGUUCAAGUCCCUCUAUCCCCA